rnacentral:lncRNA from 12 species
ACCUGCCUCCUAAGGGUCGUCACCCGCCGCAAGCAAGGGCUGGGUCGUUUAACAGCUGGUGAAAACGGACACCAAAAAACUGGGUUGCUGCGUGCAAUAUGGAGGCAGAGAGAUGAUGGACAGAGGAAGUGGGACCACAGUCUCUGCUGAAGGAUGCAGACUUCGCUCACUGUGCCUAACACUUGGUCUUAGAUGGAUCUCCAAGGCUCCUUGGGUAAGCAGAUAGCUCCUGGGGAAGAUGCAGCAGAGAGGAGAGCGAAGACGGUGGUAAUAAAGCUGUGGAAAGUUCUGUGCACGUUUUCAUCCUCAAUAGCAGCAGUACUUUCGGAAAUUUCAUCAGUGCCUGGUACAGCUCUCUGUAAAUGAUUGUAGAAGAAUAAAGGAAGAGAAGGAGGAGGGAGGAACAAAGCUCCAUCCAACCUAGAUGACUGCCAACAAUUUCCAGAGCUGCAUGCAUCAUCAUCUCAAUCAGGAAGUGAGCAGCCCUCAGCCAACACUCUUCUCUGCCUCUGACUCUGGUAUGACCUGAAUCACAUACCCAUUCCUGGGUAUCCAUAAAUGUUGAUUUAUGGCCAGAGUGUAUGAUUAUGUUAAUUGCUUUCACUGCUGUUUAGCACCAGUAAUGGAGUUGGACUUCUUCCCACAUGGGAAAGAUAUGGUUCUCAACUAGAAAUUGGGCAAGUGACAAAGAAAACAGGAACGUAUAUUGGGGGGAGGGGAGGAACAUCACAAUGUUCACCACAGGUAAUCUCAGAGAAGUCUUAAGAGAAGAGAUUUGACCUGGUUAGAGGGAAACAAAUAGAAUAGUGAGUAUGAAGGCUCAGUUUUAAAAAUAGGGAAUAAGCAUCUAUAUUUUAGCUCAACCGCUGGUGUCAGGUGAAGUUAAUAAUCCUAGUAGGGUAACUUGGGGACAUAUCAUAAUGGAGGACUUCAAAUACUUGACUGAGGAGUUUAGACUUAAUUCACCAAGCAAAAACAACAACAACAACAAAAAAAAAAAGGAAAAUGACCUUAUUCUUAGAAAAAAAAUUUUUUUCUCUAAAACUGUAUGGAGAUGAAAGAAUUUUAGAAGAAUUUAUUUUAAUGCUAGGUUGUGGUAUUUGAAUAAGCUAUAUUCACCAGUAGAAAUUCACUCAUUCAAGAGACAAAUAUUGAUGGGGGAUAUAUGAUGUGUGUCCAGUACUGUUCUGGCAAUAGCUGGGUUGUUCAAUGGUGAAAUAUAGUAAUGUUACUGCCUUUGUGAAAGUUACAGGCCUGUGGAGAUCCUAUCAUCUAUGUCAUCAUGGUGUCAGAUUCUAAUGUCUCCUCUGCCUUUGGAAAGCAUUGCACCCUGGGUCAAAACAGUUCACUCACAGUCAAUGGAAAAUAAAUUAAGAAAGCAUUCAAACCA